rnacentral:rRNA from 1 species
UACGGGGGGGGCAAGCGUUGUUCGGAAUUACUGGGCGUAAAGGGCUCGUAGGUGGCCAACUAAGUCAAACGUGAAAUCCCUCGGCUUAACCGGGGAACUGCGUCUGAUACUGGAUGGCUUGAGUUUGGGAGAGGGAUGCGGAAUUCCAGGUGUAGCGGUGAAAUGCGUAGAUAUCCGGAGGAACACCGGUGGCGAAGGCGGCUUCCUGGACCGACACUGACGCUGAGGCGCGAAAGCUAGGGGAGCAAACGGG